GCAUACAGUACAUGUUAUGGAUUUCUGAAGCAAGGUGUACAGGUGUAUUUCUGAGUGUAAUUAUACAAAAAGAUUACCACAAAAAAGUUCUAGUAUUCCACUGUUCCCAAACAAGAAAAAGUAGGAAAAUAAAUCAUCUCCUAUGUAUGCACCAUCGUCGGCCAGAGUCUGUCUAGGAGUCUAGACAGCUUCCUGCCUCACACAUGAGCAGCACUGAUUGAAAACAUGAUCUUGAUCCAUGCAUGCAUUUUCGACACCAGAGAUGAGCUUGAUCCAUGCAUGCAUUCUUAUUAAUGUGAGCAAAGCAAUCCGAGUGCCCGUAUCAUGUACUCAUCUGCAAGUAUGUGGUGCAAGUAAGAUCAGUUAACCGUGCCACAACGGAAUUUUACAAGGGAAAUGAUUUAUAUUACUUCUGAAGAGAAAAUUUAGUGCAGCAAUACUUACACAAGCAAGAAGGCGUUCCAGCACCGUAAAGGAUGCAUCUUCGUGCCGCUCAAACUGAUGCGUGAAGGCACGAAACAUAAUUUCCUCAAUUACAAAGCGCAUGAAUGCCUUCAAGAAAGCUUUGGAAUGUUGAAACCUUGAAGGCGCUUCAGAAUUGUGAGACGGAUCAAACAAGCCCAGAAAGAACUUACAUUUGCCAGGUAACUCUAGACCUAAUGCAAAGCUUCAUUUCGACAAAUUCCUAUUCUUUCCUAUUCUGUACACUAGUUUGGUAACUGCN
rnacentral:lncRNA from 1 species